ACGAACGCUGGCGGCACGCUUAACACAUGCAAGUCGAACGAGAGAAGAGAAGCUUGCUUUUCUGAUCUAGUGGCGGACGGGUGAGUAACACGUGAGCAAUCUGCCUUUCAGAGGGGGAUACCGAUUGGAAACGAUCGUUAAUACCGCAUAAUAUAAUUGAACCGCAUGAUUUGAUUAUCAAAGAUUUAUCGCUGAAAGAUGAGCUCGCGUCUGAUUAGCUAGUUGGUAAGGUAACGGCUUACCAAGGCGACGAUCAGUAGCCGGACUGAGAGGUUGAUCGGCCACAUUGGGACUGAGACACGGCCCAGACUCCUACGGGAGGCAGCAGUGGGGAAUAUUGCACAAUGGAGGAAACUCUGAUGCAGCGAUGCCGCGUGAGGGAAGAAGGUUUUAGGAUUGUAAACCUCUGUCUUCAGGGACGAAAAAUGACGGUACCUGAGGAGGAAGCUCCGGCUAACUACGUGCCAGCAGCCGCGGUAAUACGUAGGGAGCGAGCGUUGUCCGGAAUUACUGGGUGUAAAGGGAGCGUAGGCGGGAUCGCAAGUCAGAUGUGAAAACUAUGGGCUUAACCCAUAAACUGCAUUUGAAACUGUGGUUCUUGAGUGAAGUAGAGGUAAGCGGAAUUCCUAGUGUAGCGGUGAAAUGCGUAGAUAUUAGGAGGAACAUCAGUGGCGAAGGCGGCUUACUGGGCUUUAACUGACGCUGAGGCUCGAAAGCGUGGGGAGCAAACAGGAUUAGAUACCCUGGUAGUCCACGCCGUAAACGAUGAUUACUAGGUGUGGGGGGACUGACCCCUUCCGUGCCGCAGCAAACGCAAUAAGUAAUCCACCUGGGGAGUACGACCGCAAGGUUGAAACUCAAAGGAAUUGACGGGGGCCCGCACAAGCAGUGGAGUAUGUGGAUUAAUUCGAAGCAACGCGAAGAACCUUACCAGGUCUUGACAUCGUAUGCAUAGCUCAGAGAUGAGUGAAAUCUCUUCGGAGACAUAUAGACAGGUGGUGCAUGGUUGUCGUCAGCUCGUGUCGUGAGAUGUUGGGUUAAGUCCCGCAACGAGCGCAACCCUUACUGUUAGUUGCUACGCAAGAGCACUCUAGCAGGACUGCCGUUGACAAAACGGAGGAAGGUGGGGAUGACGUCAAAUCAUCAUGCCCCUUAUGACCUGGGCCUCACACGUACUACAAUGGCUGUCAACAGAGGGAAGCAAAGCCGCGAGGUGGAGCAAACCCCUAAAAGCAGUCUUAGUUCGGAUUGUAGGCUGCAACCCGCCUACAUGAAGUCGGAAUUGCUAGUAAUCGCAGAUCAGCAUGCUGCGGUGAAUACGUUCCCGGGCCUUGUACACACCGCCCGUCACACCAUGGGAGUCGGUAACACCCGAAGCCUGUAGUCUAACCGCAAGGAGGACGCAGUCGAAGGUGGGAUUGAUGACUGGGGUG
rnacentral:rRNA from 1 species